rnacentral:pre_miRNA from 1 species
AGGAGUUUUUCCUCAAUGACACGUUUUCUCCCGGGUUGAUCCAGGAAGUAAACGCAACCGGGAUUUCCGUGUCAGCCAGGAAUGACUCCA